GACGAACGCUGGCGGCGUGCUUAACACAUGCAAGUCGAACGGAAAGGCCCUGCUUGCAGGGUGCUCGAGUGGCGAACGGGUGAGUAACACGUGGGUGAUCUGCCCCUUACUUUGGGAUAAGCCUGGGAAACUGGGUCUAAUACUGGAUAGGACCAUGCUGUAGGUGGUGUGGUGGAAAGAUUAGUUUCGGUAAGGGAUGAGCUCGCGGCCUAUCAGCUUGUUGGUGGGGUAAUGGCCUACCAAGGCGUCGACGGGUAGCCGGCCUGAGGGGGUGGACGGACACAUUGGGACUGAGAUACGGCGCAGACUCCUACGGGAGGCAGCAGUGGGGAAGAUUGCAAAAUGGGGGAAAGCCUGAUGCAGCGACGCCGCGUGGGGGAUGACGGCCUUCGGGUUGUAAACUCCUUUCAGCCAUGACGAAGCCCUUGUGGUGACGGUAGUGGUAGAAGAAGCACCGGCUAACUACGUG
rnacentral:rRNA from 1 species